UGCCUGGUGGUGUAAUGGUAGCACAAGAGAUUUUGAUUCUUUCAGUUCAGGUUCGAUCCCUGGCCGGGCAACCA
rnacentral:tRNA from 1 species